AUUGAACGCUGGCGGCAUGCCUAACACAUGCAAGUUGAACGAGACCUUCGGGUCUAGUGGCGCACGGGUGCGUAACGCGUGGGAAUCUGCCCUUGGGUUCGGAAUAACAGUUAGAAAUGACUGCUAAUACCGGAUGAUGACGUAAGUCCAAAGAUUUAUCGCCCAAGGAUGAGCCCGCGUAGGAUGUAGCUUGUUGGUGAGGUAAAAGCUCACCAAGGCGACGAUCCUUAGCUGGUCUGAGAGGAUGAUCAGCCACACUGGGACUGAGACACGGCCCAGAGUCGUACGGGAGGCAGCGGUGGGGAAUAUUGGACAAUGGACGAAAGCUUGACGCAGCCAUGCCGCGUGAAUGAUGAAGGUCUUAGGAUUGUAAGGCUCUUUUACCCGGGAUGAUAAUGACAGUACCGGGAGAAUAAGCCCCGGCUAACUCCGUGCCAGCCGCCGCCGUAAUAC
rnacentral:rRNA from 1 species